UACGGAGGGUGCAAGCGUUGUUCGGAAUUAUUGGGCGUAAAGCGCACGUAGGCGGCUUUGCAAAUCCCAUGUGAAAUCCCACGGCUCAACCGUGGAAGUGCAUGGGAAACUGCAGAGCUUGAGUACUUAAGAGGAUCGCGGAAUUCCCGGUGUAGAGGUGAAAUUCGUAGAUAUCGGGAGGAACACCAGUGGCGAAGGCGGCGAUCUGGGAAGAUACUGACGCUGAGGUGCGAAAGCGUGGGGAGCAAACAGG
rnacentral:rRNA from 1 species